GGUUGUGGCUCAGUGGUAGAGCGCUUACCUAGCAUGUGUGAGGCACUGGGUUCAAAUCUCAGCAGCACA
rnacentral:tRNA from 1 species